AAUUUAAGACCGAGCUAAACCACAGCUUAAACUUAACCAUCACAGACGCAGCUAUCGGAAAACUUGCUGGCUCAACUCGAGCACUGUUAAAUUUAAGGCUGAAUUAAAACACACCCUAACCUUAGCCAUCACAGAUGCAGCUAUCGGAAAACUUGCUGGCUCAACUCAAGUACUGCUAAAUUUAAGGCUGAAUUAUAACACACCUUAAACUUAACCAUCACAGACCCAAACUUAACCAUCACAGACCCAGUAAUUGCAGUCUAACGAUGACACUUACCGUCUUUGGGACAAGGCAGUCUGGCUGAGACAGGACUUCAUGGCGGAACGCGAUGCUGGGUCGGGAUCGUCGGACUCUGAAUUUCGAGCUGUGGUCUGCAUGUGUGGUGCCUCCCCUUCCGUAGAUGAGCUGGGGGCAUCAACCGUCAGACCCCCCUGUGGCUCUGGUGGCAGCACACCUCUCUCCUGGAGCCUCAUGACAUACCUGCCGACAUGCAUUGGUGGGAGAAGUGAAGCCUUUGCACAUCGGCUGUUGGAUUGCUAAGAGGGACACUUGAAGCCCCGAGGAAGAACCGGUCCUUGUCGUCUCUACUGGAGCUUGGGCCUUUAAAUAUUCUGGCCGGAUAUGAACAAACUCCUUUGGACAGCGUUACAGUGACUCCGUCUGCCUCUGGCACUCUGUCGUUCCACUCCUGGACCUGUGAAAACAUUCAAACAGAAACAAUAAGG